rnacentral:rRNA from 1 species
UACGUAGGUGGCAAGCGUUGUCCGGAUUUAUUGGGUUUAAAGGGUGCGUAGGCGGAAUGAUAAGUCAGUGGUGAAAUCUCUCGGCUUAACCGAGAAACUGCCAUUGAUACUGUCAAUCUUGAGUACAUUUGAUGUGGGCGGAAUGUGUCAUGUAGCGGUGAAAUGCUUAGAUAUGACACAGAACACCGAUUGCGAAGGCAGCUCACAAAACUGUAACUGACGCUGAGGCACGAAAGCGUGGGGAGCAAACAGG